CAAACUAAGACCAAAGCAUGUGUCCUGUGACAGACAGUAAGGCUUUUUGUUUUUAGCCAAGAUGAUUUCUGGAAAACUUGAGGCUCCUACUGGCUGGUUAAGAGGAGUGAGGAGUCAGCAGUUAAUGACUGAAUCACUGUGACCACACAUGGUCCCUGAGGAUACAGUUAUACAUGUGUACGCAAAAUCUGAGGCUGAUUAGUCCAGUAGUUUGUGAGAUAAGCCACACACACUCACAGGCACACACACUCUCUCCCUCACUAACACACACAACCAAACGAAUGAUCCCCUCCAGGCUUAUGCCUGUUGAAGAUAAUGAGAAACAGAAACUUAGAGGGAGAGAGAGGAGAGGGGAGAAAGAGGCAAGUUGGGAGCGAGUGCAUUCAAUAAUUCGGUGUUCCAGCUGGAUUGCGGCCAUUUCGAGCCGGGACUCAGAAUGUGGAGGUUUGCUUAUAUACAAGAACAAAAAGCCUUUCCAACAUCAGCAGCUCACUCAGUGUGACGCCAUCUCCUCCUCUCAGCAUCUCAUUGUGCUGAUUCAUAGAGCGGAGUGACGGCAAACGCAACUCUGCCACACAUCAAAGACAGCAGAUGGCUUGCCAUCAUUUUCCCAACUGCCCAAGAACCAGAAGGUGUCUGAAUGAGACUGUGCUGUGAUUACCCUUCAGAGGAAAACCACGCGGGAUGACAGCAGGCCAGAGGAGAGGCAGAAGCGAGGCAGGAUUGGUUUGGAGCACUCAGAAAAACAGUGUAAAUAAACAUGUCAAUGUCA